rnacentral:lncRNA from 1 species
UCAAAAUCUCCUGCUUCUCUGGAGAUGACAAUCCUCUUCUCUAUCCUGGUUUCAGAGAUCCCUCCAUUCAUCGUCUGGUAGCAGAAAGAUUGAUUAAGGAAUAUAAUUUUUAUUGUUAUUUAUUCUAGAAAGUCUGACAGCAGAUUUGAAAUUGGGUUAGUAUUAUAGGUGUGGUAGUAGACAGAUGGGUUAUGGGUAGUCUUAUAGGUGUGGUACUGGACAGAUGGGUUAGUAUUACAGGUGUGGUACUGGACAGAUGGGUUAUGGGUAGUAUUAUAGGUGUGGUACUGGACAGAUGGGUUAUUGGUAGUAUUAUAGGUGUGGUACUGGACAGAUGGGUUAGUAUUAUAGGUGUGGUACUAGAUAGAUGGGUUAGUAUUAUAGGUGUGGUAUUGGACAGAUGGGUUAGUAUUAUAGGUGUGGUACUAGACAGAUGGAUUAGUAUUAUAGGUGUGGUAAUAGACAGAUGGAUUAGUAUUAUAGGUGUGGUACUGGACAGAUGGGUUAUGGGUAGUAUUAUAGAUGUGGAACUAGACAGAUGGGUUAGUAUUAUAGGUGUGGUACUGCACAGAUGGGUUAGUUUUAUAGGUGUGGUACUAGACAGAUGGGUUAUAGGUAGUAUUAUAGGUGUGGUACUGGACAGAUGGGUUAGUAUUAUAGGUGUGGUACUAGACAGAUGGGUUAUGGGUAGUAUAAUAGGUGUGGUACUAGACAGAUGGGUUAUGGGUAGUAUUAUAGGUGUGGUACCAGAAAGAUGGGUUAGUAUUUUAGGUGUGGUUCUGGACAGAUGGGUUAGUAUUAUAGGUGUGGUACUAGACAGAUGGGUUAUGGGUAGUAUUAUAGGUGUGGUACUGGACAGAUGGGUUAGUAUUAUAGGUGUUGUACUAGACAGAUGGUUCAUGGGUAGUAUUAUAGGUGUGGUACUGGACAGAUGGUUUAGUAUUAUAGGUGUGGUACUGGACAGAUGGGUUAGUAUUAUAGGUGUGGUACUGGACAGAUGGGUUAGUAUUAUAGGUGUGGUACUGGACAGAUGGGUUAGUAUUACAGGUGUGGUACUAGACAGAUGGGUUAUGGGUAGUAUUAUACGUGUGGUACUGGACAGAUGGGUUAGUAAUAUAGGUGUGGUACUGGAAAAAUGGGUUAGUAUUAUAGGUGUGGUACUGGACAGAUGGGUUAGUAUUAAAGGUGUGGUACUGGACCGAUGGGUUAGUAUUAUAGGUGUGGUACUGGACAUAUGGGUUAGAUUUAUAGGUGUGGUACUGGACAGAUGGGUUAGUAUUACAGGUGUGGUACUAGAAAGAUGGAUUAUGGGUAGUAUUAUAGGUGUGGUAAUAGACAGAUGGGUUAUGGGUAGUAUUAUAGGUGUGGUACCAGAAAGAUGGGUUAGUAUUAUAGGUGUGGUUCUGGACAGAUGGGUUAGUAUUAUAGGUGUGGUACUAGACAGAUGGGUUAUGGGUAGUAUUAUAGGUGUGGUACUGGACAGAUGGGUUAGUAUUAUAGGUGUUGUACUAGACAGAUGGGUCAUGGGUAGUAUUAUAGGUGUGGUACUGGACAGAUGGUUUAGUAUUAUAGGUGUGGUACUGGACAGAUGGGUUAGUAUUAUAGGUGUGGUACUGGACAGAUGGGUUAGUAUUAUAGGUGUGGUACUGGACAGAUGGGUUAGUAUUACAGGUGUGGUACUAGACAGAUGGGUUAUGGGUAGUAUUAUACGUGUGGUACUGGACAGAUGGGUUAGUAUUAUAGGUGUGGUACUGGACAGAUGGGUUAGUAUUACAGGUGUGGUACUAGAAAGAUGGGUUAUGGGUAGUAUUAUAGGUGUGAUACUAGACAGAUGGAUUAUGGGUAGUAUUAUAGGUGUGGUAAUAGACAGAUGGGUUAUGGGUGGUAUUAUAGGUGUGGUACUAGACAGAUGGGUUAUGGGUUAGUAUUAUAGGUGUGGUACUGGACAGAUGGGUUAGUAUUAUAGGUGUGGUACUGGAUAGAUGGGUUAGUAUUAUAGGUGUUUGUACUGGACAUAUGGUUUGGUAUUAUAGGUGUGGUACUGGACAGAUGGGUUAGUAUUACAGUUGUGGUACUAGAAACAUGGGUUAUGGGUAGUAUUAUAGGUGUGGUACUAGACAGAUGGGUUAUGGGUAGUAUUAUAGGUGUGGUACAAUACAGAUGGGUUAGUAUUAUAGGUGUGGUACUGGACAGAUGGG